CGACAAUCGGGCGAUGGAGUUCGCCGUAACCCCGCAGUGAAAGCGGUAAUAACUCCUACCUUCCC
rnacentral:ncRNA from 2 species